rnacentral:lncRNA from 1 species
AAAUACCAAACAAUUUUAAUCCGAAUCUAAAUUUACAACUUGGGCCUAAACCCAAAGCAUAUCAUCGCAACUUCUAACCGUGAAAUUUCUAAACUCAAAGAUUACUAUUGGACGUUAAAUAUUAAAUUAAUUAUUAUUAUUACUUAGAUUGAUUAUCCUAAACUUGAAUAAUUAUUGUAUUAUAUUAUAAUACAAUUGUUGUUGAAUAAAUUGAAGAAAUGUUCUAGAAUCUAAUUAAAACAAAUAAAUAAAUAAAUCAAACCAUCAAACCUAGAAGCCUCCAAUAAUUGAACCAAACCCUUUGAAUUAAACCAAAUCAGUUGUAAACCAAUCAAGGAGGAAAGAGAAAAGCAAAAAAAACUCAUCCCCUCCCUCUCCCGAUCGCGCGACAGAACCCAACCCCAUCACUCCACCAUUUACGUCUUUUCCGGCCACCACUCAGUCGAUUCCGGUGGCCGCUGACUACCUUGUUGCCGCUGACUCCCUUGUUGCAAGUGAACUUGCUCUCAACCUUUCCUCUCCUCGAUCGGAUCUCCAAUGGCGCAGAUGGCAUCUCCUUCUCCCCUUAGUUAUGUAGUCAAGAUUUCUAGCAAGAUUAGACGAUUCCGGCGACUGGAGGCUUUGAAGUGAGUCUCGAUCGACUUAAUUUCUCCACGUGAACAUUUCCCCUCCUUCAAUUCCGGCGACAAGCCAUGGAUGGCAAAACCACAAUGAAUGGUAGCGGUGAGUGGCUUCGAGGCUCAUUCCAAACAAACGGCUCACCCACUCCAUGAAAUGACAUCAUAAAUGGGCUCCUCAUCGAAUUGCGACUCGAACGGUGUGAUAGCUGCAAAAUUCUGGGCAAACUCAAUUUUUUGGCCACCGUGCACGACACCUGACGCUCCAACAAGGACCCAAAAGGAAAAAUCAUCUUCCUCGUGCGGAUUGAAAAAUUGUAGUCCGAUUUUCAAUGUUACGUUUUAAGACCUAGUUUCUUAUUUUCGUUAUAAAUUUUAAAUUUAAAACUAUUAAUUGAUUAAGCUGAUUUUAAGUAAAUAAUUAAUUAAAUAUGGUAGAUGUUAUUAUAAUGAUGGAGGAUAGGCUUUAGAUUGGAUGGUUUUACCCUAUGGAUGAGCUGUGUAUAUAAUAUUAAUAUUUGUGAUGUAUAAAGUGCGAAUAAUCCAAUUUAUAGGGAAGUUGCUACUGAAUUUUCG